UCCUCCUCUUCUUCUUCUCUUCUUCUUCUUCUUCUCUGUGGAAGAUCCACACGUCGCCCCUCUUCGAUUUUUCCUCCCUUCCGCUAACUAUCUCUCUCCCUCUCUCAUGUACGCCGGAAAAGACUAGACUUAUGGUCAACAACGCGCAAAAUCCCUCUCUUUCUCUCCUUCAGCCGAUGCAACCACCCAACACCCCUUGCACCGCUGAGCUCACUGGAAAUCAAGGUCAAGGGAGAUGUCAUGGCUAUGGGCUGAAGCUUUGAGAAAAAGAGAAUGAAAAAUGAAAUGUGAGAUUUUAAACUUUGAUAGUGUGUAGGGUCUUUUUGUUUGUCUAUGCAUUUUCCAAGUGAAUUUUAGUACUUUUGAUUUUUCUAUUGAUAUUUUGUUUAUGGUUGCUAUUGAGUUGCUUUGAUUGAAGGAUAGAGGGAAGUGAUUAUUGAUAAUUAUAGGGCUUGAAGAAUCCUCGAGAGAGUGACAAUGCUUGUUGAAUUUUUAUGAAAAUGCAACAUUGAAAAGGUUGAUGAGUUUCCAAUUUCAAAAGUCUACCUAAAGCUCUAUUGUUUGUUUAACUCAAAGGUAAAAAAAAGUAAAGUAUGUGGACUUGCACCGAAUAGAGCCAUGGAAUUGGUGCAAGGGUUUGAUCAAGAGGUUGCUGCAGUUGUUGUGGCAAGAUUAACUUCAUAAAAAAUGGAGAUGGAGGUUCAACCGGAGUCGACAACUUCAUGAGUUUUCUUUCAAAGAACAUUUUCAG